ACACAAUAAUUAGGGAAAAAAGGUGACUGAGCAUCCUAAUUCCUUUGUGAUUUGAUUGACUAGCAACAAAUUGUACUUGAACUCAGGAAGAUGCAAUGCAUUAGUGAUCACACUUCUUGCUGAUAAAGCACAAUAACCAACAUGUAAGACUUGUGUAGUGCUACCAUUUGGAAGAUAAACAGGUUUAGACUCUAAAAGUUGUGACACUGACCCCUUAACCAUCAUGUCUAAAUUGGAGACCAUAUGAUUAGUUGCACCUGUAUCAAUAAUCCACACCUUAUUGGCUUCAAAAACAAAAGAGGUUUUACUUGUAUUAGCAGUAUUAUACACAGAGGCAGAAGAGACAUCUGACUUCUAUUGUAUCAUCAUCAGAAUAUGAUCAUACUGAUCUUUAGUAAAAGUGCAUCCUUGAAGUAGUUGUUGAAUCUCUUUCUAAGCUUGACUAACUUUGGGAUUGGCACUAGGAGCUGCAGUUGUACCUCCACUAUUAACACCGUAGUGCUGCUGAUUAGGUAUUAUUCCCCAUCCUGGAGAAGGAAUGUGGGUGUUGAGACCAUAGGUAAAAUUAGCAUGAGGAGCUGGUGCAUAUUAGGUAGACUAACUGCUAGCUUGUGUGACAGGACCUCCUUGAGCCUUCCUCUUUGACUUGAAAUCAGGAGGAUAACCAACAACCUUAUAACAAAACUCUUUGUUAUUCCCUUUGCAUUUGCAAAAAUCAAACACCAACAAGGAAUUUUUUUUAAACCUCUGACUCACACCUGAGCUACUACAACCUGAACUACUACCAGCCUUGGAGUACGUAGCAACAGAAGAGUCCAAGCCAAUAGUAGUCAUGAUCAUGCUAGUGGUACAAAAACAACAACCUUUUGGCUUUCAUCCCCAACUAUCAAGCAUAAGCAUGGUUAAUUGAUGGUAAUGGAUCCAUCAUAAGGAUCUGACUCCUAGCCUGAUGAUAGAAUUUAUUUAAUCCCAUCAAAAACUGGUAUACCUUUUUUUAUUCAUGUGAGCUACAAACCCCUUGGAUAUACCACAGUUGCAACAAGGAGCAGGUACCAAUGCCUCAAACUCAUCCCAUAAACUUUUGAGUCUGGUAUAAUACUCGGAAAUAGAAGCAGUUCCCUAUUGCAAAAAAGCAAUAUCUUUGUGUAGACUAAAGGUCCUAGAUCUGUCAACUCUAUCAAACCUCUCUUUUAGAUCAGUCCAAACACUUAGGGCAGUAGAAGCAAAGGCAAUUCCACUAAGUAAGCUCUUAGACACAGAGUUCAUUAAUAUCCCAUGUUAAAUUAGGUCUUAAAUCUAACUCACACUCCAAAAGCUAGCUCAAAGAGAGGAGAAUUGUCCAAGCCUUAUAAGGAGUCCACCUAUCUCAUUAACUACUAAUGUGAGACUUUUUGCUUUAACACCCCACCUCAUUCCUAGUGCUUAACAUCUGGUGCGUGGACAAUUUUUGACCCACCUCACGCCUAGUGCUUAGCAUCUGGUGCAUGGGUAUUUUGGGUAAUUUUUGGCCAACAUGUAUUCAUCCAAGUAGGAUAAGGAAGUGUUGCCUACUACUUUUUUCCUUAUUUAUAGUGGAACUAAUACCCCUCCGAUAUAAUAUAUAUUUCUACUAAAUAGAAACAUGAAAAAGCAGGACGACCACAGCUAUAUUUGUUGUACCUUACGCAACAAUGAUUAGACAAAUAUGUACUCUCCGUAAUUUUAACCAAAAGUGAGGGUAUUUAUGUCUUUUAAAUAUGUUCUUUCUUCUGAUCUGCUUCUCGAUCAUCUCCUUGCCCUUCGUUUUCCAGAUCAAACGAGGAGUUUCUCAAAUAGUACAUCAUGUUUUAAAACACCCGCUCCGAGUUUAUCAAUAAAAAAUUCAUCCUUUGAUAGAGGUUUUCCACACUGUUAACCGAUAAUUCUUCCGAUACAGUUAUCUAAAUUUCAAUUUCAUCCUCGAAAUGUCAUACCAAAUCAAAUCUGCAGCUUUCGUUCUCUGAGCCUUAAGUCCUCAAAUUGAAUGGAGUAACUAAAAAUGAGCCUGCAUACUCAUUAUUUGAGAUACUCAAGGUCCAUUUAUGUUGAAGUGAAGAAAUUGUGGAUUUGUUAGACUAUAACUAAGGUACGCUCGCAUGCAUGAUGAUGCCCAUAAUUUUUUUCCGUUUGCAAUGGUAAUUAAAUUCCAUUGUUCCGUUGUGGAUUUGUUAUAUGUUGAAUUGAAGAAAUUGCGGAUUUGUUAUACUGCAAGUAGCCGUUUUAACCUGCAAAGUUGUCCUUUUUCGCUUUCAUGUUCUUAAUUGAUUUUAAGAUGCCCUCUUCUUCUUUUUUCCUAUUUUUUUAAGCUACAACUAACGGGAGUUAUGCCUUAACUUACCGAUCCUAACCAAAUUUUUAAGAUACCUCAAAUUAAGGGAGUUAAUAAAAAUUCAAUCUUGUAAGUCCUACUAUUUUUAUGUUAAAAGAAAUGUAGGUUGUUAUCUCACAUGUAUAUAAUAUUAUUAGGCUAUCAAAUUAAUAAACAAGAAUUUUAUUUGGCACCUCCCUUGAAAAACAUGCUAUAUUGAUGAUUUUGUAUGUUUCUUCCUGUGGAUACUAUUGAAAAGGUGUAUGGCAGAUGCAUGACGCUACGAUUCAUAAGAAAAUCUUCUUGCAUUGGCAAUUGUUAUAAUUUUUUUCUUACUACUUAUAUUCUUUAUUCAUAUGGAUUAGUGAAGGUGGGAAACAACAUUACGUACACUUACCCUCUCCAGACCCCACUUUGUGCCACUAUACAUGGUCCUGAUGUUUUCGUGAAGACCACGAAUAAAGGAGACUGAUAAUGACUAGCGGGGCUAUCCCUUGAAGUAAAUACAUUACAUGGUAGUACCAAGCAAGCAAUUGGUAUGUAAUAGACACAUCCUCUUUCUGUUGUUUUGUGUAAUAAGUUUUUAUUAACUAUGCCUCUGAAAUUGAAGAUAAGAUUUUGAACAUGAAUUUGGUAUUCCACAUUCUAAUUUUGUGGUGCUGGUGGUUUUGGAUUAGCUUGUUAUUACUCUAUGUGGAUGAAUUUAUCUCAUAAACAUACUAAUAAUCUUGAGUUUAUACUGCCUGAUUUUCAAGAAGUUGGAAAAUUUCAUGUUAUACAAUUGUCACUUAGUCUUGUUAUAGCUGAUGGGAAUAAUACUUAUUCAGUUUUUCAGAUGAAAAAUCUUUCACUUUGAAAAAACUGAGAUGGGGUUCUGAAUAAUACAGUUGAGGAGUUUGAAAAUAAUGGAUUGAUGUAUUUUAGAAGGAAGUUAUGUAUACCUGUUUGGGCAAUAGGACCAAUACUUUUUCAAGAAAAUGAUACUCCUAGGAAAGAACCAGGAAUUCCUUUAGUAAAAUGUCUACCAAAGAUUCGUUGCAGUGUAGAGAUAGUAAGAAAAUGUCAACUUGUCUAUUAUGCCUACAAUUACAAGAAAGUAGACGAACGAGGUUUCAAGGUUAGUGUUUUACCUCCGUUAAGCUUUUUAUGUUUACUUUGAAUAUAUAAUAUGUGCUAGAGUAUAUAUAUAUGCUUUAAGGAUAAUAACUAUUGAUAAGAGAAGGCUUAAGCUAAAGAAAUAUCUUGCAUCUUGUAGCAAAAUGACACAGUUUCAUAGUUUUGAGUUUUGACUAUAUGUCGGAGAGGAAAGAGCUGUAAGAAAGAACUAGAAAAGCUAAAGUGAAAACAAGUCAUUCAGAAGCUCUCACUUCGGUCAUGGAGGUACUCUUAUUUUGAAAAGCUUCUUGAACUUUUAGUAAUUUUGAAAAUUUUCAGUACAUUUUUGUUAUUUUUCAAAAUAUUAUUACACUUCUGCGCAUAUGUCUUAAAGUACAUGUGUUUUAUUGUAGUACAAAUGAAAAUUUGAAGCAGUAAUUCUGUUUUUCAUCUGGCAAUGAAUUUGUAAACUCCUCUAUGAGGACGUCACUUUGUAGUAUGGGCUGAGCUAAGCAAAUAACAAAUCGAAUUACCACUGAAAUCUAUGAGCCAUUUCAAAAAAUGAAUGUCAUCUUAUGACAGCUGAGUAUGAAUUUAUAAUCGAGCUUAUAUCACUUUUUGAUUUGCAGCUCACUCUCUUGCAAUUUCUCAUCUAGCUCCCUCUACUUGAUCUCAAAUUCUACUAGGGAGUAUCUUCAAUUGAGCAUAAGAUAAAUUCUAAUGACGUAUUUAUUGUGGCAUUUAUACUUCGAAAACUUUUAUGUAAUUGUAAAAAUAGUUUAACAAUAUUAUCAUACCUUAUCCCUUUUUAUUGUACAACUACAAUAUUUGUUAUGAUAAUCAAACUACAAAAAAGAAGUCGUAAUCGUU